rnacentral:lncRNA from 1 species
GGCCCAUGGCUCCAGGUAAACAGAGACACUCUGUCCAGUACAAUAUUCCAGCGGCUCAGAGGUGAUCUCUCAGGAGCUGCUGCUCAAGGGUCAGUCUGAAGGACCCGUAGAAUAUGAAGACACUGCACAAUGCAGGCCUGCCAAACUGACUCCUUACUGCACACUCGCCCAACGUUACACACCCAUGUGGAACUUCACCCAGAAUGUUCGCCCCCUUGGAAAUCACCGCGGACAGCCAGAGUGAGCGGACCAGCCCAUGGCUGAGGCGGGUCUUGCAUGCUCCCCUUUUGACCCCCAUCCACUGCAGCCACAGGAAUUAAACACAUCAUCUGGGACAAACUCCUGCACUCAAGUUGGCCCUAACAUUUAGUGGCUGCAUGACUUGAAAAAAUAUAUAAACUCUCAGUGCUUUGGGUUGUUCUUCUGUAAAUAUGAAGGUGAUUCGACUGUCAUCUACUCGGAGAGCUUUAAUGCAAUUAAAUAUGUGAAAUUUAAUAUGCAAUUAACAUGGGGCUCUUAGAACAGUGCCUGGUGUAUGCUAUGUGCUCAGUCAGUGAAAACCAGGAUUGCUUUCACCAUCCACAGCACGUUGCUGUGCCUCAAAAUCUCUUCUUAUACCUGCAGAAACCCCCGGAGGUGGGUUUGGACAUGCAUGUGCUCAGCCAAGGCAGAGUCUUCCUGGCAGGUCAGCCACCCAGCCAUGAGCUGCCCAAGGCAUUCUGGGACCUCUGCAUCACUGAAGACUCAAGUCUCAUCUGUACUUACUGCCCAGUCCAGAGUUUUCUGUAAGUGACUUUCCUAAGUCACUUAGGUUUCCUUUUGGGAACUGGCUGACAUGUCAGCUCUUUCGACGACCCUACUGGAUUUGUGGACUCUGGAUGGUCUUCCAGAAUCUAGAACACAAGCAUGGAAGUUUUUUGAAGAGGUGUGUGCUGAAUGUGGAUUGUUUGAAGUGAAUGCAGUCUGCACGAAGAGGGCUUUGCGGUGAGUUGUUAAACAGCCUGAUGGCCAUUUGGCUACGAGGCACACAGGAGAAGAGCUUCAGAAAUGACCAAGACUGUAUUUACCCGAGGGUCUUGUCAUCUGUCUUAAAUAAACGAGUUGUGUUUUGUUACA